GCUGGUUUGGCUCAGUGGAUAGAGCAUCAGUCUGCAGACUGAAGGAUCUCAGGUUCGAUUCCCGUCAAAGGCA
rnacentral:tRNA from 1 species